rnacentral:snRNA from 1 species
GUUCUCACACGUCAGCACACGCACCAAAACCGGAACAACACAGAAAGAGUAACGUGGUCUUCGCUCAAGAAUGACUUGUAAAUUCAUGAAGCAUUCCAUAUGCAU